ACUGGGCAAUGCUUGCUGCCAAGUCGGGUGCUUGAAGGUCUAAAUAGGAUUGAAAUUCUAUUCUGCUGGAAAUUUUGUUUUCUCUUCAUGACAUUAAAAAUAUAAAGGUUUGUUUUUGAAGGAAUAUUAGCAUCCUUUUCCAUGGAAAUCAAUACAAAAAAUUGUAUGGUGUAAAAACUAAGUGUUGUGCCAUGAUGUAAAUUCAUGUUAUCAUUUAGGGAAAAGGCCCCUGUUUCUUUUCUCUGUGUUAACAUAACUGAUAAAGCAUGAAACUUAUUAGUAGAUUAGCAGAUCAGUAAUGCAUCUUAGCUCAAGUGUGGGAUGAAAAUAUUUAUAAGAAUAAGAAAAGCGUUUAUUGGAGUUGUCAGUGUUACUGGCAUGAGAGGUUGGCUUGCUUGCUCAUAAUCGAACUUUAAUACUGUGUUUGGAUAAUUUUUUAGAGAGGAAAGAAAGCAAAGAGAGGAAAAUAAAAAAUAUUCUUUCCUUUGUUAUUUUCCCCUCUUUUGUUUGGAUGAAAGGAAAAUAAAAGUAGAAAUGAAAAUAAAUUUAUUUUUCUUUGUUUACAAAGACUUGAAAAUAAAGAGAGGAAAGAAAGUUGUGAUUAAUUUACAAUUUUAUCCUAUAUAUUUAAAAAAGAACUUAAAUAGAAAGGCUAAUUUUGUAAUUUUUUCAUAAAAAGCACUUUUCCUUCACACUUUUCUGUUAUUUUCUCUCCAAAUUGGAGA
rnacentral:misc_RNA from 1 species